AUGGGUCUUGUCGCCGACGGGGCCGACCUUGGCGAGGCCAAAGUCGGAGAGGUGCGCGCGGAAGCAGCCGUCGAGGAGGAUGUUGGAGGCCUUGAAGUCGCGGUAGAUGACGGGCGGGCCGGGGCGGCGGGAGGCGUCGUGGAGGUACUCGAGGCCCCGGGCGGCGCCCUGCGCGAUGCGCAUGCGCAUGGCCCAGUCGAGGCCCGGGGAGGAGGGCGGCAGGUCCAGGAGGUGGUCCUCGAGGGAGCCUUGGGGCAUGAACUCGUAGACGAGCAUGCGGUGGCUGGCGUCGGCGCAGUAGCCGAUGAGGGUGACGAGGUGGGGGUGCUUGAGGAGGCUGAGCAUGAGCACCUCCACCAGGAACUCGCGCGUGCCCUGCAGCCCGUUGCGGUCCAGCUGCUUCACCGCCACCUCCGUGCCGUCCCUCAGCCGCCCGCGGUACACGGGCCCGAACCCGCCCUCGCCCAGCAUCGACUCCACCAGGAACCCGCCGCUGGCCUCCGAGAGCUCGGCGAAUGUGAAUGCGCGCGCCGUCACCGCCGCCUCCUCCUUGUUCAUCCCCAGGAUCUCGUCAGCCACCCGCCGGUUGUGCUGGUGCGUCGCUGCAAUUCAAUACCACAUUGCAAAUUCAUUUCAGUCACUCAUCCAUUUAUACAAACAACAAGGUCAUCUUGUAUUUUGAAUCUCACUUUGACCAUCAAUUUUACCAAUACAACAGGGCAUAAAAAAGUAUACUCUCUCCGUAACAAAAUGCAAGUCAGUUUUUUAUACCCUCUCCAAAACCAAAAAAACAUCUUAUAUUUUGGUACAGAGGUUGUACAUCAGUGCAAAUUUCUUUAA
rnacentral:rRNA from 1 species